GAGGAAUAUUGGUCAAUGGGCGCAAGCCUGAACCAGCCAUGCCGCGUGCAGGAUGACGGCGCUAUGCGUUGUAAACUGCUUUUGUACAGGAAGAAACCCAUUUACGUGUAAGUGGUUGACGGUACUGUCAGAAUAAGCAUCGGCUAACUCCGUGCCAGCAGCCGCGGUAAUACGGAGGAUGCAAGCGUUAUCCGGAUUCAUUGGGUUUAAAGGGUGCGUAGGCGGAAUACUAAGUCAGUAGUGAAAUCCUGCAGCUUAACUGUAGAACUGUUAUUGAUACUGGUAUUCUUGAAUGCAGUUGAGGUAGGCGGAAUGUGUAAUGUAGCGGUGAAAUGCUUAGAUAUUACACAGAACACCGAUUGCGAAGGCAGCUUACUAAACUGUGAUUGACGCUGAGGCACGAAAGCGUGGGGAGCAAAC
rnacentral:rRNA from 1 species